CUGACUGUCCAGGAUAUUCAAAUUCUCUUUUUAUAUACAAAUCAGGUACAGCAGAGGUGUUGCCAAUGUCAGGUGUCACCAGCAGUACCUCACAAACAUCUCUCAACCCUGACCUGCAGGGACUGCCCAGAGGGCUGAGAGAACAUUAUCACCUGCACAACCUGUUCAAGUUUUCAGCUUCC
ensembl:misc_RNA